rnacentral:rRNA from 1 species
AUUGAACGCUGGCGGCAGGCCUAACACAUGCAAGUCGAACGAGUGGCGGACGGGUGAGUAAUGCUUGGGAAUCUGGCUUAUGGAGGGGGAUCACGACGGGAAACUGUCGCUAAUACCGCGUACCAUCGGAUGAGCCCACUGGGGAUUGGGUAGUUGGUGGGGUAAAGGCCUACCAAGACGACGAGCGCUAGCUGGUCUGAGAGGAUGACCAGCCACACUGGGACUGAGAAACGGCCCGGACUCCUACGGGCGGCAGUAGUGGGGAAUAUUGCGCAAUGGGGGCAACCUGACGCAGCCAUGCCGCGUGAAUGAAGAAGGCCUGCGGGUUGUAAAGGUCUUUCGGUGACGAGGCGUUAAUCACAGAAGAAGCACCGGCUAACUCCGUGCCAGCAGCCGCGGUAAUAC